rnacentral:rRNA from 1 species
AACGUAGGACACAAGCGUUAUCCGGAAUUACUGGGCGUAAAGGGCGUGCAGGCGGUUGCGUAAGUUAGGCGUGAAAGACUUCGGCUAAACCGGGGGAGGUCGUCUGAUACUGCGCAACUAGAAGUAUGGUAGAGGCGUGUAGAAUUCCGGGUGUAGUGGUGGAAAUGCGUAGAGAUCCGGAGGAAUACCAGUGGCGAAGGCGGCACGCUGGGCCAUAACUGACGGCUAAGACGCGAAAGCAUGGGUAGCGAA